rnacentral:lncRNA from 1 species
AUGACGCCCUAUGAUUAUGUGGGCUUCCUAGUUGUUCUCUCUCUCUCUACUGUCCUCCUGUUGUUCUCUCUCUCUCUACUGUCCUCCUGUUGUUCUCUCUCUACUGUCCUCCUGUUGUUCUCCCUCUCGCUACUGUCCUCCUGUUGUUCUCCCUCUCUACUGUCCUCCUGUUGUUCUCUCUCUCCCUCUACUGUCCUCCUGUUGUUCUCUCUCUCUACUGUCCUCCUGUUGCUCUCUCUCUACUGUCCUCCUGUUGUUCUCCCUCUCGCUACUGUCCUCCUGUUGCUCUCUCUCUCUCUACUGUCCUUCUGUUGUUCUCUCUCUACUGUCCUGUUGUUCUCUCUCUCUCUACUGUCCUCCUGUUCUCUCUCUACUGUCCUGUUGUUCUCUCUCUCUCUACUGUCCUGUUCUCUCUCGCUCUACUGUCCUGUUCUCUCUCUCUACUGUCCUCCUGUUGUUCUCUCUCUCUCUACUGUCCUCCUGUUGUUCUCCCUCUCUACUGUCCUCCUGUUGUUCUCCCUCUCUACUGUCCUCCUGUUGUUCUCCCUCUCUACUGUCCUCCUGUUGUUCUCCCUCUCUACUGUCCUCCUGUUGUUCUCUCUCUCUACUGUCCUCCUGUUGUUCUCCCUCUCUACUGUCCUCCUGUUGUUCUCUCUCUCUACUGUCCUCCUGUUGUUCUCUCUCUCUACUGUCCUCCUGUUGUUCUCUCUCUCUACUGUCCUCCUGUUGUUCUCUCUCUACUGUCCUCCUGUUGUUCUCUCUCUACUGUCCCGCUGUUGUUCCCUCUCUCUACUGUCCUCCUGUUGUUCUCUCUCUCUCUACUGUCCUCCUGUUGUUCUCCCUCUCUACUAUCCUCCUGUUGUUCUCUCUCUCUCUACUGUCCUCCUGUUCUUCUCCCUCUCUACUAUCCUCCUGUUGUUCUCCCUCUCUCUACUGUCCUCCUGUUGUUCUCUCUCUCUACUGUCCUCCUGUUGUUCUCUCUCUCUACUGUCCUCCUGUUGUUCUCCCUCUCUACUAUCCUCCUGUUGUUCUCUCUCUCUCUACUGUCCUCCUGUUCUUCUCCCUCUCUACUAUCCUCCUGUUGUUCUCCCUCUCUCUACUGUCCUCCUGUUGUUCUCUCUCUCUACUGUCCUCCUGUUGUUCUCUCUCUCUACUGUCCUCCUGUUGUUCUCCCUCUCUACUAUCCUCCUGUUGUUCUCCCUCUCUCUACUGUCCUCCUGUUGUUCUCUCUCUCUACUGUCCUCCUGUUGUUCCCUCUCUCUACUAUCCUCCUGUUGUUCUCCCUCUCUACUGUCCUCCUGUUGUUCUCCCUCUCUACUGUCCUCCUGUUGUUCUCCCUCUCUACUCUCCUCCUGUUGUUCUCUCUCUCUACUGUCCUCCUGUUGUUCUCUCUCUCUCUAA